UACGGAGGGAGCUAGCGUUGUUCGGAAUUACUGGGCGUAAAGCGCACGUAGGCGGCUUUGUAAGUUAGAGGUGAAAGCCCGGAGCUCAACUCCGGAAUUGCCUUUAAGACUGCAUCGCUUGAAUCCGGGAGAGGUGAGUGGAAUUCCGAGUGUAGAGGUGAAAUUCGUAGAUAUUCGGAAGAACACCAGUGGCGAAGGCGGCUCACUGGACCGGGUAUUGACGCUGAGGUGCGAAAGCGUGGGGGAGCAAACAGG
rnacentral:rRNA from 1 species